CAACUUUGAGAGAGCUGCUUUUGUUAAUGGACAUGUAGGCCUUUGUUCAAUAAUGAAACAAAGUGAGAUCGUUUUUAAGGUAACAACUAUGCAUUCGCGAUUCAGAGGACGUUUCUCACAGGAAUUCAGCACUCAGAGGAAAGAUAAACUGUUACACAUAAAACGUGAGGAGAUUCCCAAAAGUCAUAGAAGCGCACAAUAUUUGGAUGCUGAAGACCUUUUAGCAUCUCUGCCUCCUCUUUAAACCUCUGACGUUCCACCUUGGACAGCUUACGAUCCUGGAACGGCAAGAUUCAGGCAUUGGUGUUUAAGGUUCCAGGUAUAUGGCAGGAGAAAAGUGAGAGAGGCAGAUGAACAGGAAGAGAGAUGGACUGCUAAACAAACUG